rnacentral:tRNA from 1 species
UAUUUAUUAGUUUAAAUAAAACAUUAUAUUUUCAAUAUAAAAAUAAAUUUUUUAUAAAUAAAAUUAAAUAA